rnacentral:rRNA from 1 species
AUUGAACGCUGGCGGCAGGCCUAACACAUGCAAGUCGAAAGAGUGGCGGACGGGUGAGUAAUGUCUGGGAAACUGCCUGAUGGAGGGGGAUAACUACUGGAAACGGUAGCUAAUACCGCAUAACAUCAGAUGUGCCCAGAUGGGAUUUGCUUGGUGGUGGGGUAACGGCUCACCAAGGCGCCGAGCCCUAGCUGGUCUGAGCGGAUGACCAGCCACACUGGAACUGAGACACUGGCCAGACUCCUACGGGAGGCAGCAGUGGGGAAUAUUGCACAAUGGGCGCAAGCCUGAUGCAGCCAUGCCGCGUGUAUGAAGAAGGCCUUCGGGUUGUAAAGUACUUUCAGCGGGGAGGCGUUACCCGCAGAAGAAGCACCGGCUAACUCCGUGCCAGCAGCCGCGGUAAUAC